rnacentral:misc_RNA from 1 species
AUUUCUUCUCCUCUGAAUUCUUGAACUUUCUACCUUGUUGAAUUCUUGAAUUCUUUGAUUUUUGUUGUACAGAGACACACGCUUAAUCAUAUAUAUAAAUGUACACAUGUAUGUAUAUGUCUCUUGCUUGUAUGUUUCUUCUUUAUUUUAUCCUCAAUUUUGUCUCUAUGUUCAUUUCUUUCUUGUUAAUCUUCAAUUGAAUUGAAUUCUGUAUGUCUACUCAUUUCCUCUCUCAAAUUGCUUUAUUCUACUGAUUUUUUCAUCUAUUGAGUUCUGGAAUUCUUGUUAAGUAAACGUUUUGAUAUUUCACUCCUCUCAAUACUCUCUCCAUAUUUCAUUCCCCUUAAAUCUCCCUAUCCAACACUUGAUCAGAAAAAGGGAAAAAAAAUGCAAACUUGUGAGAGCAGAAGCUUCUCUGAGCCUGUAACAGAGUUACAAGCCUCAGCUGAAGAGGUUGCAUCAGUAGCAAAGAGCUCUGAAUCCGAUAAAGAAGUCUUUGCUGAAUUUGCAGUUCUGCUUGAGAAGUUCACACCAAUUCUCAUAGAAUUAAAGGAAAAUGACCAGCUUAUGGAUAGACCA